GCACUGACCACCUCCGGUGAGUACACUGCUGUUUCCGCCCGCCCGGCGCUGGUUACCUCACUCCCGGCGUGCUGUUCGCUGGAGUGUGUGUGUCCCUUAAAGGAAUCCCCCCUGCUUCCUGUUACCAGGAGCAGAUCUCGCAGUCGGCUUGAGUUGCGGACAACUCCCCAAUUCUCGUGCGACAACUUGUGGGAUGCGUCUCUUAGACACAAUCCUCACACUGCCGCCUCUUUCCAAGAACUCCAUGAGUCAUUUUAAAAUUUGAGCAAACCCCGGUGCCCACGCUGGUCGGAAUACCCUGGUGCCCGUGCCGGUCGGGUUACCCCGGUGCCCGCGCCGGUCGGGCUACCCCAGUGCCCGCGCUGUGCCUGCCUUUGGGGGCCUUCAGAGAUUGUGAGGUACAAUGUUAAAACUAAGAGAGUCACCACCAUCUCCAGAACUGCAGAGUGGAACCAACCCCUGAGGUCUGGGCAGCUCACAUCCUGCCAGCAAGUCUAAUUGGACAGCAGGAGAUCCUUGAGAUGGAAGAUUAAUGAGCUUCAUUGGCAGAAUAUACCUGAUUCCCCCAGAGGCUGAAGAGUUAUAAACUGACAUCAGGGGAAAGUGUAAAGGGGAGCAACGAACAUGAAAACUUCAACUUCUAAUGUACUUGCUUCUUGUAUAAUGUGGACAUGCCUCCAAAGAAGAUUGAUAAGCAUCCUUUAUUUACAAGGAGGAAGAAAAGGGAAGGCAAUUAACAAAGAUUUUCAAGGAAAGCCAUGCCCAGUUCCUGGCAUUUAAAAAGUCUGAGAAUAUUAGUUUGAAAUACAGAUAAAGGAAGAAUUCCUCCGAGAAUUUAUCAUCUCUGAAACGUGAAACAUGCUCCCACUUCCAGUUUCAUUCCUGUGUCAGUGGUGGCAGCAGAGGCGGUUCAACCGUGAGGCGAACCAGGCACUUACCUGUGGCGCCAUUCUGUAGGGGGCACAGUUAAGGUGCUCCCGGGUGCGUGCACACCCCCGCCUCCUCUCGGCUUCGGUCUGGGCCUGCUCAGCAGGCCGAAACCAAGAGGAGUCGGGGGUGCGCACGCAUGCACAUAUGCGCGCGCACCUGGGCACGCACCCCCUGCCUCCUCUCGGCUUUGGUCUGGGCCCGCUCACCUUCAGGGCCUGCACCCGGCCUUUGGGGCCUUGCCCAGGGCCAGGCCCACCUCCGGGACCAGGCCUGCCUCUGGGGCCAGGCCCACACCUAUGGCAGAUAUCCUCAGAGGUUGUGUGGUCUGUUGGAAGCUAGAUAAGAUUGUCAUAUGAUAAGGCCAAGAUACAUCCGAAUCCAAUUAAUGUCAACAAUAUUUACAAUCUUUGAACAAUGGACAAUGGACCAUCCAUCAUUGUCAUCAUCAUCAUCAUCAUCAUCAUCGUCGUCAUCACAACAACGGCCAUUUUCCCUUUCUGACCACACUCUUCUUAUUGUGAUGCUUGCCAAAAGAUAUGAAUAUUUUUGGAAUAUUAAAUUGACCUAUGACUAAAUGAAUGAAUGAACUCCCCUGCAACUUAAUAAGGUACCAGAAAUCUAAAAGGAAGAAAAGUAAAAGGGAGCAUAACAGUGGUCUGAAAGCACAUAAUUAAUACUACUAGGAUAAUGAUGCCCCGUGUCUUUGUACAACUAUGGUCAGGGCCAGAGAAGAAAACUGAUAGCCUGUUUUCUGAUGCACCUUACCAUAUCAACACAAAUGGUAAAAGAGCAGUAUUUUAACAAAUCAUUAAUCAGUUAUUAGCUAUCACUAGGAAUCAGUUGAAUCAUUGCAUUUCCAAAUGUGGUGUCAAUCAUCUAGAUGAAAUUCAUGCUGAAAAUUGCUUUUCUUUGUCUCCCAGCACCUGUCUUCAGAGGUACUCGUAUAUUGCUUUCAUCCACUGAAGUUCUGUUGGUAUUAUCUGCUGAAACAACUAACAUUCAUUGGCAUUUAUUUUUGUUUUGGUAAAAAUAUUUCUGGCAUAUUUUUGUGGGCCUAAUCAGUGCUCAAGAAAGCCAUUUUCAGUCAGAGACUCACUCACAUUUCACUGAGGUUAAAAAUGUCAGUGAGCUGUAGGCAAACGAAUCUGGUCUUCAUCUAUAGACCUGCGUAUUUUCCAAGUAGUCAUCUGUAACCUUUAGAAUGAGAGUAUGUUUAAAGUACUAAACAUGUCACAAGCAUGUUCUUAAGACUGUUGAAGAACAAAAUGUUUCUCCAUUUCUAAGCGGAAGAGCCGGCCUUAUCCGUAGAUGCCUCUAAGGCCAUGUGGCCAGCAUGACUGCAUGGAGUGCUGUUACCUUCCCGCUGGAGUGAUACCUAUUGAUCUACUCACAUUUGCAUGUUUUUGAACUGCUAGGUUGACAAAAGCUGGGCUAACAGUGGGACCUCACCCCGCUCCCCAGAUUCAAAUUGCCAACCUUUCGGUCAGCAAGUUCAGCAGCUCAGCGGUUUAACCUGCUGUGCCACUGGAUAUUUAUUUAUUAGAUAACCAAUAAGUAGUAAACAUUACAUUAAAUUACAAAAGCAUUUUAAACACACAAUAUAAGGAAGUGAGCUAGGAAAGACAAAAUGGUUACAUGGACUUGAAGAUGAUCAGUAAAGCAUCCCUAGUAGGUUGUCACUUAUAUUACCACCCAAUCAACCUGACAUCAAUACCAGGAAAUUUUUUAGAGCAGAUGAUUAAACAGAUGAUCUGUAAAUGCUUAGAAAAGAAUGCUAUAAUUACUUGUUUCUCAAAAACAAGUCAUGCCAGACUAAUCUCUCUCCCUUUCCCUCUCCCUCUCCCUCUCUCUCUCACACACACACUUUUAAUUAGAGUUACAUUCCUGGUAGAUGAAAGUAAUGCUAUGAAUGUAGUGUAUCUUGAUUUUAGUAAAGCAAUGAUCAAGAUCACUACAAUGAUAUUUUUGCAAACAAUCUUGAAAAAUGUGAUUUUAACAAUGUUACCUUUAGGUGGACUUGUAAUUGGUCACAAAGCCAAAUCCAAAUAAUUCUCAAUAAUGGCUCCUGGAGAGGGAUGACUAGUGGGCCUGUUUCCUUCAACACCUUUAUAAAUAACUUGGAUAAGGAAUAGAAGCUAUGCUUAUCAAAUUGGCAGAUGACACCAAAUUAAGAAAAACAGCUAUACUUCAGAGGACAGGAUAAGAAUCCCAAAUGACCAGAUCAUAGAGUCAGGUCUAAAAUAACAAUAUUAAUUUCUGGGUUGUGUAUGGCUAUGUUCCGAAAGCAGUCGCUCCUGAUGUUUCACCCACAUCUAUGGCAGGCAUCCUCAGAGGUUGUGAGGUAUAUUGGAAAAUAAGCAAGGGAGGAUUAUAUAUCUGUGGAAGGUCCAAGAUGGGAGAAAGAACCUGUCUGCUGAUUAGCAUUUAAUGGAAUUGCAGUUUCAAGGCCUGGCUGAUUCCUGCCUGGGGGAAUCCUCUGUUGGGAGGUGUUGGCUGGCUCUGAUUGUUUCAUGUCUGGAAUUCCCCUGUUUUCAAAGUGUUGUUCCUUAUUUGUUGUCCUGAUUUUAGGAUUUUCCAAUACUGGUAUCCAGAUUCUGUUCAUCUUCAUAGUCUCCUCCUCUCUGCUGAAACUAUUCACACACCUGUGGAUUUCAAUAACCUCUCUGUGCAGACUGACAUGGCAACCUCCAGAGUAGUCCAACACCUCUGUGCUCUCAAAUAAUAUACUGUGUCCAGGUUGGUUCAUCAAGUACUCUACUAUGGCUGACUUCUCUGGUUGAGUUAGUUUGCAAUACCUUUCAUGUUCCACAGCUGCAUAAUAUACAGUAGACUCCUCCAGAGGUGAGAGGAUCCCUCUUGUCCUUUACUGAAUGUAGCAUUUGUUGGAUUUUCUUACUGGGUCUGUAGAUAGUUUGUAGAUUGUGUUUCUUCAUCAGCUUUCCUAUGCAGCGGUACCCUUGAUGUAUGGUAAGUGGUUCCUUGAUGUAUGGUAAGAACACGUUUCCUCUGAGUGGAUCUUUGUCUUUACUCUCAUGGCUUGUUCUUGGCCUUACAGCUCUUCUGAUGUCUGUGGUGGAGUAUCCAAUGGCCUAUAAAACCCAGUUUAGGUGGUUCAGUUCAUCUUGGAGGAGGUGGGGUUCACAGAUUCUUUUUGCAUCAUCUGACGGGGCUUUAACUGUGCUUCUUUUUUACUUGGGUGAUGGGUGGAGCUUUUAUAUAGGUAUUUAUCCAUGUGUGUAGGUUUUCUGUAAACUGUGUGGCCAAAUUGUUGAUUGGGUUCGUGGAUGACUAGGACAUCUAGAAAUUUUCCUUCAUUUUCUUUUUCCAUGGUGAAUUGGAUGUUUGGGUGGAUGCUGUUGAGGUAGUCCCACCAUGGACCUUCCACAGAUAUAUAAACCUCUCUUGCUUAGUUUCCAAUAUAACUCACAACCUCUGAGGAUAAAUGCCAUAGAUGUGGGCGAAACAUCAGGAGAGACUGUUUCUGGAGCAUGGCCAUACAGCUCAGAAAACUCACAGCAACCCAGUGAUUCUGGCCAUGAAAGCCUUUGACCACACAAUAUUAAUUUCCACAAGAAGAAAAAAGGAUGAGUGACACCAGACUUGCCAGGAGUAUUUAUGAAAGGGAUCUAGGAGUCUUAUUAAACCAUACAUUGAACAUGAGUCGGCAGUACUCUAUGGAAGCUUUAAAAGCUGAUGUGGUUCUAGGCUGCAUCAAUAGAAGCAUAGUGUCCAGAUCAUAAUAUAUAAUAGAACUCCUCUAUUCCAUUUUGGUCAGACCUCACAUAGUAUUUUUGUCAAGUUCUGAUGACAAUCUGGAACAUAUUAGGAUUGGGCCCGGAUAAUUUUUAAUAAAAAUGAUUUGUAAAAUUCAGUGGUUUGUUUUGUACAUCCUCAAAAACAGGACAGGGGGUUUGGAACUGGAGAGCUGGCCAAAACAAAUCAAGAAAGGAGUUAGCUCUGCAAUAUACCUGAGAUAAAGGUCUGCCACGGGGACUCCUGGAGAACAUGGGAUUAACCGCAGCAUCAAUUUCUUCUGGAAAACUUCCCUAGACUCCUCCUCCAGAAAUCUGGGGAUUUUUUAAAUAUAACAAAGAUCAUGGCCCAACAAAUCACAGCAUACACUCUCUAUGCUCAUCAAAUGGAACUAAACUUCUAAAGGACAAAAAAGCCAUUGCACUAUGCUGGAAAGAACAAUACCAUAACCUCCUUAAUCGCAGCUUCAACAUGACUGAAGAGGUUCUUUCACAAAUCCCACAACAAACCAGGGAUGACUUAGCUGCACUGCCUAGUUUGAAGGAAUUCAGCAAAACCACAAAUCAAUUAAAAAUAACAAAGCCAGAGAAAAUAUUUAAAGAAGGUGAACAUGAGCGGAAACAACUCCAUUAGCUCAAUGAAAAAGUGUGGGUUACCAAGAAGAUCCCGGCAGACUUCAAGGAUACCACUAUCAUCACCCUUUUCAAAAAGGGGGAAAGUACAGAUUGUGGAAAUUAUCAAGGUAUCUCACUUUUAAUCUCCGCUGGGAAAAUCCUUGCAAAGAAUCCUUGCAAACCACCUUCUACCUAUCUCAGAAGACAUCCUCUCUGAAUUCCAGAAUGACUUCCACCCCUCCAAAGGAACAGAGGAUAUGAUCUUCACUGCAUGUAAAUUCCAAUCAUGGAUGGCAAUGGCUUCCAAAGUGACCCAUUUAAGGUGGAAUCAGGUGUUAAACAGGGAUGUGUUAUUGCUCCAGCUUUAUUUUUCAUCUUCAUACCUAUAAUUUUGCACCUUGUUGAUCAUAAACUUCCAACUGAUGUGGCAAUAACCUAUUGGACAGAUGGCAAACUAUUUAACCUCAGCAGGCUAAAAGCCAAAACAAGGUCACAACAAUGCCUGUUAUAGAAGUCUAAUAUGCUGAUGAUAACGUAAUCUGUGCUCAUUCAGGAGAAGACCUACAAGCCACUUUAAACACUUUUGCAGAAGCAUACAAAAAGCCUGGCCCCUCACUUAACAUCAAUAAAACCAAAGUGCUCUGCCAAUAGGCACAAGCCAAUCCCUCUGCAAUGCCAGAAAAAAAAACAGCUUAAUGGUGCAACAUUAGAAUAUGUUGACCAUUUCCUCUACCUUAGUAGCCACCUCUCGACAAAAGUCAGCAUUGAUACCAAAAUACAGUACCAUCUGAGCUUUGCAAAUGCAUCAUUUUUUAAAUGAAGCAGAGAGUGUUUGAGGAUUGGGACAUUCAUAGGGAUACCAAGACACUUAUAAAACUAUUGUCCUCCCAACUUUGUGUUAUGUGUCUGCAAAAUGUGGCCCAUCUACAAAUGUCACCUUCAACUUCUGGAAAGAUUCCAUCAGCACUGCCUCUGAAAAAUACUUCAGAUCUCUUGGGAAGACAGGCAGACAAAUGUCAGCAUUAUGGAAGAAGCAAAGACCACCAGCAUUGAAGCGGUGAUCCUCUGCCAUCAAUUUCACUGAACUGGCCACAUUGUUUGAAUACCUGAUCACUGUCUCCGUAAACAGUUGCUCUACUCUCAACUCAAAAAUUGAAAAUGGAAUGCUACUGAACAGCCAAAGAGAUUUAAAGUUGGGCUUAAAGCUAACCUUCAAAAAGCCUUCAACAACUCAACCUUAAAAAUUGUUGUAUAGGCACCAAGGACUGGGGAGCUCUGGUCCUAGAUUGUUCUAACUGGUGGUCAGCUGUUGCCAACAGUGCUGUGCAAUUCGAAGAGACACAAAUGGAAGGCAAAAGGGACAAAUGUAUCAAGCGGAAGGCAUGUCAAACCAAGCCUUGUCAGGACCGCCUUCCACUUAAAAGUCGAUUUCCUCACUGAGAAAGAACAUGCGGAUCCAGAAUACAUCUCUACAGUCUCCUACUGAACCAUCACCAAGACUCUAAACUUGGAGUAAUCUACUAUGAUGAUGAUAACUGCAGAAACCAGGGUUCAAAUCCUCCAUUCAGCCAUGGAAACUGUGUGGAAUCCUUGGGCAAGUCACAGUCAGUGGAAGGCAAAGGCAAACUCCUUCUGAAUAAUGCUUGCCAGUAAAAUCCGAAGACGUGUUUGCCUUAAGUCCGAAAAGAUUUGACAAACAACAACAACAACAACAACAACAACAACAACAA